AAAGCUUUGAACUUCUUAAUCAUUUACUAUCUAAUUUAACGUUUAAGAAUUAAUUGUAUUAAUUUUGGAUAAUUUGACAUUGUAAAUAAUUUUUGAACAAGGGCCCUGCAUUUUCAUUUUCCAGUGGGUUCUGCAAUGUAUGUAGCUGAUCUUGCCACUGUACUACUGUGUGCAUGGGAAGGUUUCAAGAAACCCAUCAAACACAGUGCCCGUAGAGACAAAGACACACAGGACGCGUCUGAACAAAAGCGUGGUCUGCCUCACUCAGCCAGUCUCAAGGGAGAGAGGAACUGUGGCUGCAGUUUCCCGAAUUAUCCAAAUUAGGACUCAAAAGAAGAGAGUUCUGAGGCCCAGCAACUCUGAGAAAAUCCUGAAAAACCUUGUGAUAAAAAGUUCAACACAAGUCAUUGGUUGGGAGUAGAAGGCACUCUGCAUGGUCGUCUGGAACCAGGGUUUGCCCACCUGAUGGGUCUCCAUUUGCCCCGGCCUCGGACUUCUCCACUGGAUGCUCUGAUUUCACUUGAUAGAUCUGCACGGAACAAUGCGGCUUCUCUGCAUGACUGGAGUUUGUUUUGUCUUUGAAGAUAAUCUCACUAGGAUCCAGACCAUACCUGCUGGAGAGUCAGGACUCUGGAUUUCUGACUGUUUUGAGGACAGGUACUCUCAUCCUAGGCUGAUCUGAGUUUCUGGGUCUUUCUCUGCCUGUUCUUUCCUCUCCCCUUCCCUUCUCUGCUGCAGAAAGUGUUUUAUGUGGGUGUCAGCAACAUCAGGACCUUUCAAACCCCUUGCCCCAGUAUCAUCCCUGAAUGCAAAACUCACUUAGAGGCCUAGGGAAGAGAUUAGAGCUCUGCUUUUCCUCUGCCACCUCAGGUGUAUUCUAGCUUACAAGACACUUUCACAGAAAAAAAAAUUCAGGGAAUGGAAUGGGAAGGCAAAAAUAGCUGCUUGAUGCUGACUUGGCACAUUGACUUCGACCAAAUCACCCAGCGCCUCCUCCUUAGUACUCUGGUGACCACAGAAUAAUCCUCGCGCAGUGAGUAGUGGAAGUCAGGAGGAGUAAACUGCCUAGAUGUCAUGAAGGGAAAGCAAUAGACUUGUGCAAAGUCUAUUCUUGUCCGUUUCCCUGUGAAUCCAGGUUGCUGAACAUCGGCCGAUGUCUGAGCUGUGGCUUCCUCCUGGUUUUGAAAUUUAGUUACUAGAAGACAAUGCUUUUGAAUGGCUUCUUUGCCAUGACUUUCACAGGUCCUGCUGGCUGUUGCCUAAUGAAUGUCUGAUAGGCCUAGCCCCUUGGCAAAGCAAUGUUUUAUUUGCCAAAUUAUGCUUGUCCAGUGCCUCCUGGGAACUGAAAGCCUGGCAUCAGCAGAGGAACGCAAACCGGGCAAAUCACGGAUCUCCAAGGCUUGCAUUGCUUGGGGGCCAUGGCACACAGCACUGCUAAAAGCCUAGGACAAUCUGUGUGUUUUAGGAGCAAACCGAUGCCUCGCACUUCUAAACUGUAUCCUUUGCUCCCUCCCUGAGAGGCAGCCGUGUGCUCUGGGCUUCCUAGGUAAGUGACUCACACGAACUAUAAGCCUGGCUUAUGACCUAGAAAAGGAAACAGGAAGUGGCUUAGAGACAUAAAGAGCACAGCCCAGGAGGGGCUGCCAUGGAAUUCUCCUCAGAUGAGAAAGGGUCCAAUGGGCAGAGGAGCAACUUGGCAUCCUCUCUUUCCCCGCGUUACCACAAUGCCCUUGGCAGGGACCAUUUGAUGGGGAGUCGGAUGUCUUCCUGGGGGUGGUGAACAGGGGUGAGGGAGGGGGAACUGCUGCUGGGUCAGUAGCUCCUCUCCAGAGUGAGCCCAUCAGUGGAAUGCCAUGCCCCUUCUCUAUCCCAUCUUUGCAAGUGGGCUUGGGUUCUUGGGAUGAGUUUCAUCAGGCCUUAUACAUGCAGACUGUGAAGAGGUGCCUCCAACAAGAAAAACCAGUCUCUGGCAGGUCCUCUAAGGGCAGGGAUUCUGGAGAGGCCGCCCUGUCCUCAGCUUGGCCCUGGCACAUUCUGGCUGCAGGUAAGAUGGCUGCAGCAGAGGGAGGGGAGGGGCCUCCCUGUUGAUGGAGACCACCAUGCAGCGCUUCACUAUGCUUCCCUUUCUGACUCUCCCAGGGAGGAAGGGUGGCUGGCGGCUGGCGGCAGGGCUUGUGGAGGCUCAGUCCUGGGCCUGGUCCUGCUUCUCUUAGAGGUGGCUGGUUGUGCAAUGGCAUCCCGGCUGCUCCUCUUGGAUCCCUAUGACCACAGUUCCAGGCUCCACCCCCAUUUCUCACCACCAGUGGUGAGAAAUGGAAUUUUUUGUUUUGUGUUUUUAUGCUGUUCCCAUAACACCCAGCACCUAUCCCCAAGGAUGAGUCCUGAAGACCCGUAGCCAUGGCAGGGCAGGGCCUAGGUACUGAAGGAGGAUCCCACUCAGAGGCCAGUUCCACCCACUGCAAAACACCCUCUGAGGACCCUCACUAGACCAGUUCCUCAAAGUGCGGUCCGCAGGCUGCCAUCAGGAGAAUCAUGGGGUGAGGAAGGGGCUGGUAAAAACACGGGUUCUUGGCCCCCUCUGCAGACCUCCAGAAUCUAACCCUCUCAGGAAAAGUCCUGGAAAUCUGUGUGUCUAGAAGCACUUUCUUCUCCAGGUUGGUCAGCUCAGAAAUGUCUAAAUACUUUUCUCAAUACCAAUCCCGGUCUCAUUUAUUAUCCUUCUCAUGAAAAUGAUUUGCUUCCUUUCAACCUUGUAUGACCUCUGAAAAUAUGACCUAAAGCAGAGGGUCAUAUUUUCUCAUGCACUCACAUAAGAAACAUCACCUGUGGCCUUCAUUGGCAAGCAUGGAUUGCUGUUUUCAAUCAGGAGCUUUGAAAGAAGACACUUUUGAUCAUCGGUCUGCCUCUAUCUGCCUUUUCACUGAGUUGUCACUAUUAAAUGCCCUUCCCUGGCUUUGCCUUCUCUCUUCUCCACCAGAAAAUGGGCCUGCUGCUCUAAGAGGUUGGACUCUUGGAGUCCUCUAGCACAGGGCCCAUGAAAAUCAAUGACUUCCUUGUUUGCUGAUGGAGCAGAGGUAGAAUCUCUUGGUGUUUCCACAGAGAAAAUGCUGACUGUGAAGAGCCGAGAAAGAUGACAUGAUGAAGCCAUCAGGGGAGGCACCAAACAUCCUCAACUCUGCUCAUCUAUGGUUUUCUCCAGCCCUCCCAGAGCUCCUCCUGCGUGAGUAAUGCAGUGUGUGCUGGUCAAGUGUCUCACUGAAAAAAGAAAGAAAUCCUGAUUUGCAGCAUUGGCCAAUUUCUGUAGUGUAAAUACUCCCACCAUGGCAGAUUUCAGGUUACCAAGGGUUUCACAACUGGUUCACAAGUCUUGACUGUAAUGACCAGCUCAUGCAACUCCAGCACCUCAUCAUCUCCGCCCUGUCCCAGAAAAUCCCCACAUCACACCCAGGCUGAAUAUCACUUUCAGCUUCUCAGUCAGAAGGAGAAGUGGUUAAAUAUACCAGGAUGGUAAUGACUAAGUAUCAGAAUGGUGAGUGUGGAGGGUCAGGAUGUCUGCCAAAUUGGAGAUGACUCUUCACUUCUCAAUCUUGGUGUCUCAUCUGGGGAAGUUGGAGGGAGACAUGCACAGCUUCUCAUGAACAGUCCUGGAAGCCCUUACCCCAAGGCCUCACGGGGCUCUCUCCAGGGCUUGCUCUUUCUCACUCUCUACUUUAAAAGCCUAUGAUUCAUUGCCAGAGAACAGAAGGCUCCAGCCUAAUGGGCCAAGUUGCAAACGGCGGGAAUGGGGGCUGUCUAGACUCUGGGUCCUGCCUUUUGUCUUGGCUGGUGUCAAAAUGAACUCUUUAAAAACUGGCCUAAGAAGAUUCCCCAUCGAACAACCAAAGACUGAACAGCCUGGACUGACCUUUUUCUAAUUUUUAGGGGUCUUGUGAACAGGAGUUAGGUGGGCGGGCAGCUCUUGUAAAGCUAAGUGUAACCAAAUUUGUCCAUAGCCUAUGACAGCAAAGAUCACAAAACUCUUGCUUCCCCUUUAGGGCCUGGGAGUGACGCUGAGUGACGCCAAACCGAGGGGAGAAUGGUGACCUAUUUUAUCUCCCAAACAUUGGGCAGUCAGUUGCAUUCGCAGAUUUAAAAUCCACCCACACUGCUGCAGUUUCUGUUCUCCUGCCCCCCAGGCAUACUUCUGGCUGGAGCUGGUUUUGUAAAGUGGAGUUGGCCGUGGGUGUGGGAGUCCUCCUCGGAGAGCCUGGUCUGACAGCCCCAGUCCACAGCCCUCCCAUGGGCUUUUGGGCUGCUCCAGUCCUGGCAGGUGCACAGCACAGGGGAAUCUGGUUUUGUCCUGGUCUCAGCUGGGGAAGUCUAGUUAAAGAAAGAAAAGAUCAGCUGGGUGCAGUGGCUCACACCUGUAAUCUCAGCAC